GCGAUUUGAGGGUGUUGGCGUCACCAUGAUGAGAAGAUCCGCAGUCUCGAGCGCAAGGCUUUCCAUCAGACCGCCUUUAAUACAAAAGGUAUUUACUCGAGAUUUAAGUAGGCCUACACUCAAGGCAACACUUAUAUCCAACAAACCUAUGGGCAACAAUAUAUCAGACAAACCUAUAGGCAACAAUAUAUCAGACAAACCUAUUUCCCGUGGGUAGUUCAGAAGGCUAACGUGGAAAGCAUGGCUAACAAGACAGGAUGGGGGCUUAAUCAACAUGUCUCCGAACGCUUAUUUGAAGAAGGCAGAGCCUGCUGGAGGUGGUGCCAUCGAUUUUGCUGACAUGUCCCAUGAGCGCCACCUGCUAAGCCAGAUGGAUUAAGGAAGACCCCACUCUGCAGGACAAGUCUGCGCCUAUGAGGGAGGACCUAUGGUCCGGAGGUGGCGGAGGUGCUAUGAGUCUACAUCCUGCAGUUUGGAAAGUAUAAAGGUGGUUUUUGAAUAAUGAUGUAGGCUACACUAUGUAUCUUUUCAAGAAUCUCCGUAUGGUAGGAGGCUUUAGGUAUCUGUAUGGCCGAGGGGCAUAGCAAGUACAGCCUACUGUCAUUUGUGAAUUAUGCUCUCAGUUUUGCAGAGUUCCAGUCUCUUCUCAACUAUGAGGCCAGUGGAGUGGGUGUUGUGGCAUCCUCAUCAGAAGACGGCCAGCUGGUUGGCUUUGGCUCUCGGGCCAAGAGCACCUGGAAGGAGAUAUAGAACAGCAGAGCUGAUGGCUACGCAGACUUUGUCAUGGGGAAGAGCCUUGAUGUCUUGUAAUAUUACAGUGCACAAGAAGAGAGUGGAUGGCCACUGA
rnacentral:lncRNA from 1 species